UACGGAAGGGGCAAGCGUUGUUCGGAAUCAUUGGGCGUAAAGGGCGCGUAGGUGGUUCUGUAUGUCUACCGUGAAAGCGUACGGCUCAACCGUAUUUUGUCGGUAGAAACUGCAGGACUUGAGGCUGGGAGGGGCUGGUGGAAUUCCCUGUGUAGCGGUGAAAUGCGUAGAUAUCUGGAGGAACACCGGUGGCGAAGGCGGCAUCCUGGACCGGUAUUGACGCUGAUGCGCGAAAGCCAGGGGAGCAAACGGG
rnacentral:rRNA from 1 species